rnacentral:misc_RNA from 1 species
GACAAAUAAACAAAUGAAAUCUAUAUAAUAGAGGAAAGUGCGAGUCCAAAAAGGAGUAAAGUAGUGAAGACUAGUACAAAUCUCUACCCUUACACUCCACGAAAGAAUAUAAAAAAAAGGAGGCAAUGUGGCCAAAUCUCUAAGCAGAUCCAAAUGAGGACCCCUUCACCAUAAAUAACCAAAAGAUAAAUUAUACAUGUCAAAUAUCAAAAUAUGUUUUGAACUCUUUAGAACAAGAGCCAGCUCAUCACAGCCCAUCCAGCUACCAAACUUCCUAGCAUCUUCAAUUUCUCUGCUCCACUCUCAUCGUUAAGAGAUGGGCUAGGAGCUGAAUCGGAGUCCAUGCUAGGUCCAGGAGCUUCGGAAGGAGGUGCAGGUGGGCUCAUCAUAUCGGGAGAAGGUGCUGGUGAUGCAUUGUGUUUCUUUCCCUUCUUUCCCUUUACUUUUCCUUUGCUAGGAGCCGGAGCUGGAGUUGUCUCCGAAGC